AUUGAACGCUGGCGGCAGGCCUAACACAUGCAAGUCGAGCGGAGCGGCGGACGGGUGAGUAAUUCCUGGGAAUCUGCCUGGUAGUGGGGGAUAACGUCCUGACACGGGCGCUAAUACCGCAUACUAUCCAUUGAGCCUACGUCGGAUGAGCUAGUUGGUGGGGUAAAGGCCUACCAAGGCGACAAUCCGUAACUGGUCUGAGAGGAUGAUCAGUAAAACUGGAACUGAGACAAGGUCCAGACUCCUACGGGAGGCAGCAGUGGGGAAUAUUGGACAAGGGGCGAAAGCCUGAUCCAGCCAUGCCGAGUGUGUGAAGAAGGUCUUCGGAUUGUAAAGCACUUUAAGUUGGGAGGCGUUACCAACAGAAGAAGCACCGGCUAACUUCGUGCCAGCAGACGCGGUAAUAC
rnacentral:rRNA from 1 species